UGCUGGGAAUGCAAACAGUAUUAUAAGAAUUUGUCGUUGAUGGGAGAAGAGUUAAAGAAACGGAAAAAUCAAGUCUCGCGUCACCGACAUAGAUACGAAAGACCAAAUACACCAGAAGGUUUUUGGGAUUUAGAAUUUCCUGAAACAUCAUCCACUUACCGGCAAAAAUUAAAUUGAGACAUAAUCAAUUACAAACAAGUA